GUGAAGCGGCAACAGCUCAAAUUUGAAAUCUGGCCCUCGGGUCCGAAUUGUAAUUUGUAGAGGAUGAUUUUGGUGCGGUAUCUUCCGAGUUCCUUGGAACAGGACGCCUUAGAGGGUGAGAGCCCCGUACGGUUGAAUGCCUAGCCUCUGUAAAUCUCCUUCGACGAGUCGAGUAGUUUGGGAAUGCUGCUCUAAAUGGGAGGUAAAUUUCUUCUAAAGCUAAAUAUUGGCCAGAGACCGAUAGCGCACAAGUAGAGUGAUCGAAAGAUGAAAAGCACUUUGAAAAGAGGGUUAAAUAGCACGUGAAAUUGUUGAAAGGGAAGGAUUUGUGACCAGACUUUUUCUGGGCGGAUCAUCCGGGGUUCUCUCCGGUGCACUUUGCCCAGUAAAGGCCAGCAUCGAUUUUCGGCGGCGGAUAAAAGCAGUGGGAAUGUGGCUCCCUACGGGGAGUGUUAUAGCCCAUUGUAUAAUACGCUGCUGGGGAUCGAGGUACGCGCUUCUGCAAGGAUGCUGGCGUAAUGGUUAUCAAUCACCCGUCUUGAAACACGGACCAAGGAGUCGAACAUUUAUGCGAGUGUUUGGGUGUUAAACCCUCACGCGUAAUGAAAGUGAACGGAGGUGAGAGCCCGUACGGGUGCAUCAUCGACCGAUCCUGAAGUUUUCGGAUGGAUUUGAGUAAGAGCAUAACUGUUCGGACCCGAAAGAUGGUGAACUAUGCGUGGAUAGGGUGAAGCCAGAGGAAACUCUGGUGGAGGCUCGCAGCGGUUCUGACGUGCAAAUCGAUCGUCAAAUCUGCGCAUGGGGGCGAAAGACUAAUCGAACCAUCUACUAGCUGGUUACCGCCGAAGUUUCCCUCAUGAUACCACUGUUGUCUUCAGUUUUAUGAGGUAGAGCGAAUGAUUAGGGACUCGGCGGCGCUUUUUAGCCUUCAUCCAUUCUCAAACUUUAAAUAUGCAUUAAGCCCUUGUUACUUAAUUGAACGCGGCAUUCCAAUGGACCAACACUAUUGGGCCAUUUUUGGUAAGCAGA
rnacentral:rRNA from 1 species